CAUGAGGGAGGUGUUGAGACUGGCUUUCAGCACUUCUAUUGGGAUUCAACCUUUGUCCUGGGGAUUUACCACAUACUUGAGAGUUGAUGGCAUUCUUCAGCUCAUUGAUAGAGGGACAUCCAGCUCUCCCAAGAUAAGCAGAGUUGCUAACUGUUCAGUUGAAGUCCAUGUUUUCCCAUGAGUUCAGUUCUUGAUAGCGCUGUGCCCAUCACACCUCCCUACAUGUGUAGCUGUCAGCAGCAAGUUGAAUGCUCUGACACAGCUUUAGCCAGUAGUCAUUAGCAUAUUGCCUGGCAAUCCACUGGGCAUUACUCCUUGCCUUUCUCAGUGCAGCAAGCGUUUUCUCACAAGACACAUGCUUAUAGUUCACAAGAGCCUAACCCUUUGCAGUGAUAAAAGGUUCCAUGUCCUUAAUGCCAGCCUCAAACCAGUUGGGGAAUUGCUGUUUACUUUUGCCCAAAAGGACAUAGCUAUGUUGUAGGUUGAUGUUCAAUGCAGUUUCUAAAGCAGUCCAGUAGCACUUGUUCGACAGAAUCAGAGAAGCAUUUCUAAAGUUCAGGUAUGACUGUUCUGGCAGUGUUGAUUUGAGGCCACAUUUUCUGCUUUGUCCUAUAGGCCCUCUUUGGCUGGAGAAGGAUCAGCAUGGAUUCUUUUGUAUGGAUCUCCCAAGAGAAGAAGUUCCAUUACUGGGGCACAGCCACCAAAACAGUAUCUCUCCAAGGUGUUUCAUUUGAUGUGGCCUUUCCAAUCAAAAAGAAGAAGAAGAAAAGAACAAAACAAUAUGGCUGCUAUUUCUCUCCUAUCUUCACUCACAUGUAAAUAGUUCCUGCAUGAAUAAAUCCUUUGAACUCGAGAAAUUGUAAGUAAUUACUUCAAUUUAAAUCACUUAAGUUGCUAACAAUAUUUAUUUUUUAAACAGCUCUGGGAAUUGUAGUUUGGGGACAGGAAUCUUCUAACAACUCUUGGCACCCUUAAACUGCAGCUUCCAGCAUACUUUGGGAGAAGCCAUGACUGUUUAAAGUGAUAUCGUAGUACUGUAAAUAUAUGUUGUGAAUGUGGCCUAAGUCUCUGUUUUUCAGCUUGUUAAUUUUUGUCCUUCUUUCGUACUUGUAAUGCCUUUCUGGGACAUGGUAGUUCUGGCCUACAUUUAUCAGGCUGAGUAAAGCAUGCUGCUGGAGAGAAGGAACGUUGCAGGUCUUCAGGGUCAAGUCCCAUCUAUCUCCUGAACAGAGCUCCAGAGACACUAUCGCAGCCAUGCCUUGAAUUGAAUGUAGUACCCAUCUAGCCCAGCCCAUUCUUCAGCAUACGGUAAGUUCCAGUGCAUGAAGCUUUGAAUCAAAUGCAGAAAUCUGCCUUAUACCUGAUCCAACUGGCCUACUGCUGCUUGUUAUGACUGGCAGAAGCUUUCCACAGUCCCAGAAAGAAAAACAUCAUUGCAAUCACCUUCUGCUUCAGGGUUGGGGCCGGAUUUUUUAUCUCCCCUCAUCUCUGCAAGGCAUCUUUGGCAGAUGGCCAGGACCACCUACCUGUCAAUCUUGUGACAUCAUAAAUAUACAAUGUAAUUGCUGGCUUUGCUCAGCACUGCAUACUGA